rnacentral:rRNA from 1 species
UAAAACGUAGGACACGAGCGUUAUCCGGAGUUACUGGGCGUAAAGGGCGUUCAGGCGGGUGAUUAAGUUCGCUAUGAAAGCGCCGGGCUAAACCCGGCGAGGCUGGCGGAUACUGAUCAUCUGGAGUGAGUCAGAGGAAGGUAGAAUUCCGCGUGUAGUGGUGAAAUGCGUAGAGAUGCGGAGGAAUACCAGUGGCGAAGGCGGCCUUCUGGGGCUCAACUGACGCUGAAGCGCGAAAGCAUGGGGAGCGAACGGGAUUAGAAACCCCGGUAGUCCAUGCCGUAAACGAUGUGCACUAAACGUUCGGUUUCCGCGAGGGAGCCGGGUGUUGAAGCUAACGCGGUAAGUGCACCGCCUGGGGAGUACGGUCGCAAGGCUA